rnacentral:rRNA from 1 species
AUAACAGGUCUGGGAUGUCCUUAGAUGUUAUGGGCCGCACGCGCGCUACACUGACAGAGCCAACGAGUUCAUCACCUUGGCCGGAAGGUCUGGGUAAUCUUGUUAAACUCUGUCGUGCUGGGGAUAGAGCAUUGCAAUUAUUGCUCUUCAACGAGGAAUCCCUAGUAAGCGCAAGUCAUCAGCUUGCGUUGAUACGUCCCUGCCCUUUGUACACACCGCCCGUCGC